rnacentral:rRNA from 1 species
UACAGAGGUCUCAAGCGUUGUUCGGAUUCAUUGGGCGUAAAGGGUGCGUAGGUGGCGCCGUAAGUCAGGUGUGAAAUCUCGGGGCUCAACCCCGAAACUGCACUUGAUACUGCGGUGCUCGGAGUACUGGAGAGGAGAUUGGAAUUUACGGUGUAGCAGUGAAAUGCGUAGAUAUCGUAAGGAAGACCAGUGGCGAAGGCGAAUCUCUGGACAGUUACUGA